GUAACACGUAGUCAACCUGCCCUGGAGACAUGGACAACCCCGGGAAACUGGGAUUAAUCCGUGAUAGGUCAUCUCAUCUGGAAGGAGAGAUGGCUUAAAGGGGUACGCGGGCUUCUUCUGCGUAUUCGCUCCAGGAUGGGACUGCGUCCGAUCAGGCUGUUGGCGGGGUAAUGGCCCACCAAACCUGUAACCGGUACGGGCCUUGAGAGAGGUGGCCCGGAGAUGGACACUGAGAGAAGGGUCCAGGUCCUACGGGGCGCAGCAGGCGCGAAACCUUCGCAAUGCGCGAAAGCGUGACGAGGUUAAUCCGAGUGGCCCCCGCUGAGGGGGUCUUUUGUCAGCUGUAAAUAGGCGGGCGAAUAAGGGGAGGGCAAGCCUGGCGUCAGCCGCCGCGGUAAUACCAGCUCCUCGAGUGGUCGGGGCGAUUAUUGGGCCUAAAGCAUCCGUAGCCGGUUCCGUAGGUCCUCUGUUAAAUCC
rnacentral:rRNA from 1 species